rnacentral:sRNA from 1 species
CCUGGGUGUGGUAGCGCACACCUGUAAUCCCAGCUAUUUGGGAGACUGAGGCAGGAAGAUUGCCAGUUCAAGACCAGCCUGGGUAACAUGAUGACACCCUGUCUUAA